AAAUUUUCAACGAUGGAUGUCUUGGCUCCCAUAUCGAUGAAGAACGCAGCAAGAAUGCGAUAUGCAAUGUGAAUUGCAGAACCAUGAAUCAUCGGAUCUUUGAACGCAACUGG
rnacentral:rRNA from 1 species